GCCAGUGUGGCGCAGUGGUUUGAGCACUGGACUAUGACUCUGGAGGCCAGGGUUCGAAUCCCCUCUCGGCCA
rnacentral:tRNA from 1 species